rnacentral:rRNA from 1 species
AUUGAACGCUGGCGGCAGGCCUAACACAUGCAAGUCGAGCGAGCGGCGGACGGGUGAGUAAUGUCUGGGAAACUGCCUGAUGGAGGGGGAUAACUACUGGAAACGGUAGCUAAUACAGCAUACCAUCAGAUGUGCCCAGAUGGGAUUAGCUAGGGGGUGGGGUAACGGCUCACCUAGGCGACGAUCCCUAGCUGGGUUUAGAGGAUGACCAGCCACAAGGGAACUGAGACACGGUCCAUACUCCUACGGGAGGCAGCAGUGGGGAAUAUUGCACAAUGGGCGAAAGCCUGAUGCAGCCAGGCCGCGGGUGUGAAGAAGGCCUUCGGGUUGUAAAGCACUUUCAGCGGGGAGGCGUUACCCGCAGAAGAAGCACCGGCUAACUCCGUGCCAGCAGCCGCGGUAAUAC